rnacentral:rRNA from 1 species
GUAGUCAUAUGCUUGUCUCAAAGCUUAAGCCAUGCAAGUCUCAGUACGAGCUGACUUAAAGUGAAACCGCAAAAGGCUCAGUAAACCGGUCAUAGUUUACCGGAUAUAUGCCACUCACGUGGAUAACUGUGGUAAUUCUAGAGCUAAUACAUGCAAACAAGUCCCGACCAGCGAUGGAGAGGACGCUUUUAUUGGAUCAAAACCAUUCGCCCGAGUAAUCGGGCGUCGGCUUGAUGACUCUAGAUAACACCACAGAUCGCACGGUCACAGUACCGGUGACAUAUCCUUCAAAUGUCUGACUUAUCAGCUGUCGAUGGUAGACUCUGUGUCUACCAUGGCGCUCACGGGUGACGGGGAAUCAGGGUUCGAUUCCGGAGAGGGAGCCUGAGAAACGGCUACCACAUCCAAGGAAGGCAGCAGGCACGCAAAUUACCCACUCCCGGCACGGGGAGGUAGUGACAAAAAAUAACGAUACGGGACUCAUCCGAGGCCCCGUAAUCGGAAUGAGAACACCCUAAAUCCUUUAACGAGGAUCUAUUGGAGGGCAAGUCUGGUGCCAGCAGCCGCGGUAAUUCCAGCUCCAAUAGCGUAUAUUAAAGUUGUUGCGGUUAAAAAGCUCGUAGUUGGUUCUGCGUGCCACGCUGUCGGUUCACCGCCUGCCGGUGCAACUGGCAUGCCGUGGCAUGUCCUGUCGGUGGCGGAUAGGCUUCGCGGAGCGCCCUAUGCGUUACCAACGUGUAGGUUGUCGCCUCGCGUUGUCCUUGUACGCCGGCUCAAUCCUACCGCGGUGCUCUUUACCGAGUGUCGAGGUAGGCCGACACUGUUUACUUUGAACAAAUUAGAGUGCUUAAAGCAGGCUCUUAAAUCAGCCUGAAUAGUGGUGCAUGGAAUAAUGGAACAGGACCUUGGUUCUAUUUUGUUGGUUUUCGGAAUCCAAGGUAAUGAUCAAUAAGGACAGGCGGGGGCAUUCGUAUUGCGACGUUAGAGGUGAAAUUCUUGGAUCGUCGCAAGACGCACUAGAGCGAAAGCAUUUGCCAAGUAUGUCUUAAUUGAUCAAGAACGAAAGUUAGAGGUUCGAAGGCGAUCAGAUACCGCCCUAGUUCUAACCAUAAACGAUGCCAGCCAGCGAUCCGCCGACGUUCCUCCGAUGACUCGGCGGGG